CUUAUAAACAAUCCUCAGGGAAGACAUCUUCCCGAUAUGCUUCGCCACAUGCACUUGUAUUGAAGCUGGAAGAUGGGACGGGUCUUCUCCUCCCCUCACAAUCUGAAAAUGCCUCUCUCAAUUGAAUAAAGAGUGAACACUGCCAAUCUUUUGAUAACUAUGAACUUAUGUACAAAAAUUUAGCUUCCAAGCAUCUCUAUCUUUUGAACAGUGAG
rnacentral:lncRNA from 1 species